CUGAGAUCAAGAGUCACAUGCUCUACCACCUUAGCCAACAAGGUUCCUCGUGGUAUGAUAAAAGCUGAAUAUAAAAGCAAUCAGGCAGGGAAUCUGCUCUCAAGAUGGUGACAGACUUGUAACUGGAGAUGUAUAAUUCACUGUGAUGGCCACAAAAAGUAGCACAGUAGCCUACAAGGAAGGAGUGAGCAGGUGAACAUCAAGGUCCUUCAAGAGGACAGCUUAGAUGGUAAAAGUCCUUUGGAUGAUCAGUUUUGUUGAUGGGUCCAUGAUGGACUCUAUUACGAUACCGUGACUAUAAUAUCAUGCCAUCUAAACAGAAUCCUUCCUCCCUGAUUUCUGGAGCUCUCUCCAACGCACUCCACCUCUUCCCAUCACACCAGUCGUCAGUUUGGAAACCCUAAUGCAGAUGAACUACUCUGUUAUGUUUCUGAUAUU